rnacentral:rRNA from 1 species
AACGAACGCUGGCGGCGCGUCUUAAACAUGCAAGUCGAACGGCAGGAAGGGGCUUGCCCCUUCUGAGAGUGGCGGACUGGUGAGUAACCCGUGGGUGACAUACCUUUUAGUUGGGGAUAGCUAUUAGAAAUAGUAGGUAAUACCGAAUGUGACCGUACCUGUUAGAGGGGUACGAGGAAAGGAGCUAAGGCUUCGCUAAAAGAAUGGCUCGCGGCCCAUUAUGCUCGUUGGUGAGGUAACGGCCCACCAAGGCGAUGAUGGGUAUCCGGCCUGAGAGGGUGAACGGACACAUUGGGACUGAGAUACGGCCCAGACUUCUACGGGAGGCAGCAGUUAAGAAUAUUCCGCAAUGGACGAAAGUCUGACGGAGCGACGCCGCGUGGAUGAAGAAUGCCGAAAGGUUGUAAAAUCCUUUUAAGCCUGAUGAAUAAGCACAGUAGGGAAUGAUUGUGCGGUGACCGUAGGGCUUGAAUAAGCACCGGCUAAUUACGUG